AGAAUCAACGCUGGCGGCGUGCCUAACACAUGCAAGUCGUACGCGAAAGGGGCUUCGGCCCUGAGUAGAGUGGCAAACGGGUGAGUAACGCGUGGGUGACCUGCCUUCGAGCGGGGGAUAACGUUCCGAAAGGGACGCUAAUACCGCAUGACAUCCUGCCUUUGGACAGGCGGAGAUCAAAGCCGGGGAUCGCAAGACCUGGCACUCGAAGAGGGGCCCGCGUCCGAUUAGCUAGUUGGUGGGGUAAUGGCCCACCAAGGCGACGAUCGGUA
rnacentral:rRNA from 1 species